rnacentral:rRNA from 1 species
UAAUGCCCUACCAAGACUUUGAUCAAUAGCUGAUUUGAGAGGAUGAUCAGCCACAUUGGGACUGAGACACGGCCCAAACUCCUACGGGAGGCAGCAGUGGGGAAUCUUGCACAAUGGAGGAAACUCUGAUGCAGCGAUGCCGCGUGAGUGAAGAAGGCCCUUGGGUUGUAAAGCUCUUUCGUCGGGGAAGAAAAUGACUGUACCCGAAUAAGAAGGUCCGGCUAACUUCGUGCCAGCAGCCGCGGUAAUACGAAGGGACCUAGCGUAGUUCGGAAUUACUGGGCUUAAAGAGUUCGUAGGUGGUUGAAAAAGUUGGUGGUGAAAUCCCAGAGCUUAACUCUGGAACUGCCAUCAAAACUUUUCAGCUAGAGUUUGAUAGAGGAAAGCAGAAUUUCUAGUGUAGAGGUGAAAUUCGUAGAUAUUAGAAAGAAUACCAAUUGCGAAGGCAGCUUUCUGGAUCAUUACUGACACUGAGGAACGAAAGCAUGGGUAGCGAAGAGGAUUAGAUACCCUCGUAGUCCAUGCCGUAAACGAUGUGUGUUAGACGUUGGAAAUUUAUUUUCAGUGUCGCAGCAAAAGCGAUAAACACACCGCCUGGGGAGUACGACCGCAAGGUUAAAACUCAAAUGAAUUGACGGGGACCCGCACAAGUAGUGGAGCAUGUGGUUUAAUUCGAAGAUACGCGCAGAACCUUACCAACACUUGACAUGUUCGUCGCGACUCUGAGAGAUUAGAGUUUUCGGUUCGGCCGGACGAAACACAGGUGCUGCAUGGCUGUCGUCAGCUCGUGUCGUGAGAUGUUGGGUUAAGUCCCGCAACGAGCGCAACCCUCACUUUUAGUUGCCAUCAUUUAGUUGGGCACUCUGAAAGAACUGCCAGUGAUAAG